CUUCUAAGGCAGGUUAACAGGUUCCUCCAUCUCUGCCGAGACGGUGAAACUGCCGGUUCCCCAGCCGGCCCUGUCACAGCGAGGCAGGGGCAGCCUUUCGGAGACUGCCUGAGCCGCCAAGACCUAAGAUCUGCUUCUUGAGCUUCGAUCUGUCACGAGCCAGGCAUCACAGAAGGAAAUUAAUUUUUUCAAAACAAAUUUCCUCAAACCACAUAAAAGAAAUUCUGUUUUUGUUUUUCUCACGAGCAGAGCAUAGAGGGAAGAAGGGAGGUUUGGGGUCACUCCCCAGGGGGAUUCUGGAUGCGUUUGCCGGUCUGCAAAACUCCUGGAAGGGCUGUGCGAGGACCCGCACAGUGAGGACAGCAAGGCUUGGCCACGGUCCAGGCAUGUGGCCACCCAGGGCCCGUGCGCUGCUGUCACCGUCCUGCUGGGACACACCUCUUCGUUUCUGCUUCUAGGAGGCUUCACUCAGCUCUAGUUUCAAGGCCAUUCUGGGACCUCCUGACAUCCCUGCGAUGUCAGCCCCACGCUCCCUCUGGAUUAUCCUCAGACCUGCAUCACCUCCACCCACGGGCCUUGCCUGGACUUCCUGCCCCGUCCCUGCCCCUGAAGCCACUGCUGAGGCCAGGCAGGACACCCAGCGCCCUGGACAUCUCAACCCCUUGCUCUGGGGUUCCUGAGCCCAGGGAGGUGGGACCUCUCCCUGCGGAAGCCUGGGUUCCCCCUUUGAAAAUCAGGGGCUCGAAUCCCCGUGUGACUGCUCGACAGCAGGAGAUGACAUGUGUGCAAUGUUUCAUAAACCGGGAGAGGGCUGAGCGGGCGAGGGCUGUGUCAGCCCCCUCCCACCCCAACUACUUGAGGGAGGACGCUCCUCUUGGUCACCGGGAAGAUGGGUGGGCAGCAGGGACGGUGGGCUCCAGGGAGCCUGUGGAUGGGACCUGGUCCCAAGGCUGCAGCCUGAACCUGGGGUGUGUGCGAAGGAGACAGGAAAGAAGGACCAGACCUGGCCAGGUCAAGCUCUCAUCGCUCCCCUAAGUGACUCUCAGCCUCUGUUCUUGCCCUUCCGGCCAGCUCUUCCCCCAAAAGCCCUUUAAGCAAAUCCACUGUGUGUAGGGACCACCCAGCCCCUUCCCUGGGGCACAUCUGAGAAGGCGGGAAACUGCCAGCCCCGGGUCAUUCCUCAGAGGCAGCGUGGAGCAGUGGGGCCAGUGCAGGCUCUGGGGUUGCAGGGAAACCCUGCUCCCAUCUCCUGGGGUUCCAGCACAGCCGUGGGGCUGAGGACUCAGCAGGCAGACUGCAGGCACCAGCCAGGCGACCCAGGGACCCCCGGUCUCAGAUAAUCACAGCAGGCCAUUGCAGGGUCACUGGGAGUUAAGCCGGGUACCUGGCACACAGUAGCACCUAAUAAAGAUGAGACACUUUCUAUUGCUAGUAUUCACGCGGCUGGGCUGGCAACCCCGUCAGUAAGAGGGCGGUUAAAGGCGCACCUGCCCCGGAGUUUAUUAAGAGGAUGAAAUGAGACGAUGCUCGUAAAGUGCUCAGCGUGGUAUCUGACACUCAGCAAGGGCUCGACACAGGAGAGCUCUAAUGAUUCAGCUUGGAGGGGAAGUCCUCGGCCUCUGGCUUAAGUUUUCCAGGAAGCCAGGCUGUUGGGAGGAGGGGCCAGCCUCCGCUUGAGCAGGGAGAUGCGCUCUGGCCAGUGACUAAGGCUCGGGCGGCAGGAUGCAGCGGCUCGGGCAGGGCGGGGUUGGGCUGAGGCCGAGGCUGGCCCGCGUUCAGGGUGAUGCAUUUUUACCGUAAGGCCCUGGGUGACUCCAGAGCCAGCGCUGGCCUCCCGGUCCCUGGGGCCUGACACUCACCAGCCAGCAAUGAGAGAUGCUUCGUAAAAGAGGCAGAGACUCUGGAGCCCUCAAAAGCACACACAGUGAGAAAGACGGGGACAGGGCCUGGGAGGAAAGGACAGAUUCACAGGCACGUGGCAUUUAAUAAAUGCCACCCUCUGUUUGUUUAACCAUCUGAGGUGCUAUGAUAGCAGGGCAGGUCUGGGUGCCAGGCUGGGUUCUGGGACCGGAGCCAAAGUCAAUUAAGACCAGGGAUGGAGGGGAACCCAAAAAAGGGUGAGGAGAAGAGAAACACACACACACACACUCUCUCUCUCUCUCUGUCACACACACACACACACGCUCUCUCUCUCUCUCUGUCACACACACACACACGCACACACACACACCCUCUCUCUCUCUCUCUCUGUCACACACACACACACCCUCUCUCUCUCUCUGCACUCCUGUGCUGGGUUCUUUACAAACAUUGUCUCAGGUUGUCAAGAGCCAGGACAAUAGACAGAGAUCAGGUUGUGGGCUUCAGCGACCAAAUACAAGUGUCCAAAUGCCGGCAGGGCCCCCUACUUGCUGAGUAAGGUCAGGCCAAUUAAUUAACAGCUCUGUGAUCCACUUUGCUCAUCUGUAAAAUGGGAAUGAUAAUAUCCACACCCCCUUCCAAAGGGGACCAAAGUAAGCACAGGCUCUUUGCUAGGGCUUAUAAAAUACAGGGGAAGAGUCACCUUGGGACUUAGAAAACCUCAUUCUACUGUGAUCUUCCUAUCUUCUGUAUCCCAUCACCACACUCGGCCUCUAGCAAGCAGUCAAUAUACACAUGAUGGUGUCCAGAGAGCCAGAAACCUGCCCCCGGCAGCAAAGAUACUCAGAGAGCGGGUGGGGUGAGGCUGUACCUAACCCCAGCAUUCUCCCCAAUGUCAACUAGGCAGCGACUACUAUGUCCACUUUAGAGGUAAGGAAACCGAGGCCAAAGAUCUGCAGGCUCACGGUGUGCCUGGCCUUGGGCUGAGCAGGAAAGAAGAAAACAGCAGAAAGAGCAGUUAUUACAGACAGACUACAGGGUUCCAGGGCAAAAGAACUGGUAAAGGGCGGGCUUAUUCACAGUUGUAUUUUAGCACAUAUUGUCUCAACCAGCCUUUGGGGAAUAGCAAUAAUUUCUUCUGCUUCGAUCAACUUCAUUUACCAUCUCGAGCCCAAUUCUUUUCCAAUAGGGAAUAAAAGUGCAGCCACUAAAAGUCAGACAUUCUUUUAAACACAUCCAACCCCGCUGUGUGGCUGUGGGUUAGCUAGCUACCCUCUCUGAGCCUCCAUUUCCUCUCAUGUGCAAAUUGAGCAAAAUACUCACCUCCCUCCUGCUAUGGGGUGAGAAAAGACCACCAUGUGACCAGCCUUCAAGACGGGGCACCCCUUGUCAUAAACGAAAGACACAUCGUAAAAAAGUGACCUUGGGUUUAACUUUGCCACGCCACUGUGAAAAUGAAAAGGGUAAACUUUAAUAAAUACUGACUAUAUAAAUGAAUCCAAUCGUGACCCGAGAGCUUUCUGCUUGGCGAAAACUGGAGAAAAAGGAAUUUGAGAAUGAGCUCAAAAGGUUGGAGAGAGAGCGUCAUGGGUCAAGUGGAGGCUGACAGGUGCUGGGGGAAGACAGUGGGACUUGCUUUUCUGAAAUUCUAGGGAUUCCAGCAACAAGGGACCAGCCACAGGCACUUCCAGGUAAAAGAAAGGCUCUUGCAACACUGUAAAUCACCUAUGCUUCAAUAAAAUUUAAAAAAAAGAAGAAAGUCACUGUUCCCAAAUUCUGACCCAUGUGCACUGGCUCUGGGGAGAGACUCAGUUUUCUUGUCUGUUCAAUGGGGAUGAUGUUAUUUUCUGCCGUAUUCACACAAAGCCCUUAAGACAGUCUAACACCCAGGAAGUGUGCAAUAAGUGUGAGCUACUCCUUUUUAUUCCUGGGUGAUAUUAUUGCCACUAUCCCUCCGUGGUCCCUCUUCUUUCUUCUUCUUGGGAAUCAGCACUUUCUCGGAGACAAACGACAGGGACCGAAGUGGUGCUAUUCUUUAUUGCUUUGGCAAAAUAAAAUAAAGAUCACAACCAUUUCCUUUCCAUUCUGAGUGCCCAGGUGACCAGGAAACACCCGGAGACUUAAAGAGGCUUUCUUAGCCCCGAGUUCAUCUUCCUGCAAAGCCUUAAACUUUUGCUCCUUCCUUUCACUAGACUACAGGCUCCCCAGGGACGGAGAGCAUAUCUGCUCUGCUUGCCACGAGACCCCCAGCACUUGGGACAGUGGCUAAUUUACAUUAGGUACUCGGGAGAAUUAACGGGGUAACUGGCGUAUAAUCAUCGCUCUACAAGUUUGGGUGCAUCCCUGUGAGCAGAGGAGCCAACGAUCAUAAGUUCUCCCCACGCACUUCUCUUGGGACAGCUCGCCUGUACCCAGGCAGACCAGCGGCAACUCGGCCUAGAGGGGUCGGCCUGGGUCUGUACCAGCCUCCGGGUCAGCCCUGGCGCCGUGCGAUACAGAGCUGCGCUGGGCUCACCUCCAAAACACCUUAAUACACAUCCACAGGUAUGACU
rnacentral:lncRNA from 1 species